rnacentral:rRNA from 1 species
AUUGACCGCUGGCGGCAUGCCUAACACAUGCAAGUCGAGCGCGCGGCUGACUGGUGAUUAAUGUAUGGGGAUCUGCCCGAUAGAGGGGGCUAACUACUGGAAACGGUUGCUAAUACCGCAUACUAUCGGAUGAACCCAUAUGGGAUUAUCUAGUAGGGGGUGUAAAGGCUAACCUAGGCGACGAUCUCUAGCUGAUCUGAGAGGAUGAUCGGCCACACUGGGACUGAGAAACGGCGCAGACUCCUACGGGAGGCAGCAGUGGGGAAUAUUGGGAAAUGGGGGCAAGCCUGAUGCAGCCAUGCCGCGUGUAUGAAGAAGGACUUAGGGUUGUAAAGUACUUUGAGUGGGGAGGCGUUAAACGCAGAAGAAGCAACGGCUAACUACGUGCCAGCAGCCGCGGUAAUAC